GAGGCUUUAGCUUAAUUAAAGUGUCUGAUUUGCAUUCAGGAGAUGCAGGUUAAUAUCCUGUUGGCCUUA
rnacentral:tRNA from 1 species